UCAAGAUUAAGAAACCUACGCAAUGCU
rnacentral:piRNA from 1 species